rnacentral:rRNA from 1 species
GAUGAACGCUGACAGAAUGCUUAACACAUGCAAGUCAACUUGAAUUUGGGUUUUUAACUUAGGUUUGGGUGGCGGACGGGUGAGUAACGCGUAAAGAACUUGCCUCACAGCUAGGGACAACAUUUGGAAACGAAUGCUAAUACCUAAUAUUAUGAUAAUAGGGCAUCCUAUAAUUAUGAAAGCUAUAAGCGCUGUGAGAGAGCUUUGCGUCCCAUUAGCUAGUUGGAGAGGUAACGGCUCACCAAGGCGAUGAUGGGUAGCCGGCCUGAGAGGGUGAUCGGCCAAAAGGGGACUGAGACACGGCCCUUACUCCUACGGGAGGCAGCAGUGGGGAAUAUUGGACAAUGGACCGAGAGUCUGAUCCAGCAAUUCUGUGUGCACGAUGAAGUUUUUCGGAAUGUAAAGUGCUUUCAGUUGGGAAGAAACAAAUGACGGUACCAACAGAAGAAGUGACGGCUAAAUACGUG